ACGCACGCUGGCGGCGUGCUUCACACAUGCAAGUCGAACGGAAAGGCCCUGCUUGCCGGGUAAUCGAGUGGCGAACGGGUGAGUAACACGUGGGUGAUCUGCCCUGCACUUCGGGAUAAGCCUGGGAAACUGGGUCUAAUACCGGAUAGGAGCCAUUUUUAGUGUGAUGGUUGGAAAGUUUUUUCGGUGUAGGAUGAGCUCGCGGCCUAUCAGCUUGUUGGUGGGGUAAUGGCCUACCAAGGCGGCGACGGGUAGCCGGCCUGAGAGGGUGGACGGCCACAUUGGGACUGAGAUACGGCCCAGACUCCUACGGGAGGCAGCAGUGGGGAAUAUUGCACAAUGGGCGCAAGCCUGAUGCAGCGACGCCGCGUGGGGGAUGACGGCCUUCGGGUUGUAAACUCCUUUCGCUAGGGACGAAGCUUUUUGUGACGGUACCUAGAUAAGAAGCACCGGCUAACUACGUG
rnacentral:rRNA from 1 species